GUGCAACAACCAGUUAUAAAACAGUUGAAAAACAACUGGAAGAGAUCAAAGGAGGAAGGACGUUUGAAAUGUACAGUAAUAAGGAACAGCUCAGGGACCAGUUUAUCUGUAUUGCUUCAGCUCAGUAAAGCUGAUAUGAAUCAUAGAAUUGUAGUGUCAUAGAAUGUUUUGGGUUGAAAGGGAUCUUUAAGAUCAACUAAUUCCAACCCCCUGCUACAGACAGGGACACCUCCCUCUAGACCAGGUUGCUCACAGCCCCAUCCAGCGUGAGCUUGAAUGCUUCCAGGGAGGGGGCAUCCGCAACCUUGUUUGGCAACAUAUUCCAGUGUCUCACCGCCCUCAAGGAAUAAUAGGCCUUCUUCCUACUGACAUGGAUUCUCAGAUGGAUCAGUAAUUCAUGUGGCAUUAUCAUCCUGUGAAGAGAAGCCUUGGAAGAGCAAAACAUUGAAACAGAUAAAAGACCUGGAAGAUCCUGUUAUCCUGUCUUUGGCAAGCAAUGGUAUUGCAUCCCAGGUGAUUUUAAGCUAACAGACUGUCCGCCAGAAGUUGAACAAUAUCAUCUGUCACUUCAAAGCGCUCUUGUGUACGACUUAUCUUACCCUGGCAGAAAGAGGAUUCUUGACCAAAUGAAGAACUCUGAUCAGAGUGCCCUAUUUCCUUGUUUAAAAGGAUAGCAAAUUCUUUAGGGGAUAAGAAUGAAGCAUUCCUAAGGACUUACUGCGCUGCUGCCCUUCAGAAGGUGUAUUUUUAACAGUGUUGCUCUACUGAAUUCUCAGAAGAGGUGAAUGGAUUUCAGUGACUUGCAUGAUGACAGAAAAUGCUCCUCUGUGUGGCUGUGUGGCUACACAAACUCCAUCUGACAUCCGCUUCUGCACACCAACAGAUGCAGGAUGAAUGCUGUCUACUGCUGACUGACUUAUACAGAACAAUCAGAUGACUUGCACAUAUUGGCGAAGAAUUAUAAGAACUUUAGGAACAGAAUGACAACUAGAGCCAAAAACGAUUAAUAAAAAAUGCUCUAUGGGAAAAUAAUCAUUCUCUAUUACAGGAGAAUUAUAAUAAAUAUCAGAUUGAUCUUUCUUGCUCCUAAGCUGCAAAAGAAUGCUCAGUCUUUGGAAAAUGUGCUAAGUUGCUAAUUUGAACUUUGCAAAUUUCUUUGUAUCAGCAGCCUGGGAAAAGCUGUGCAUGAUUUGUACACAUACACACAAACAUACACACAAACAUAGACACAAACAUACACACAAACACACAUAUUUCAGCCAUUUUAUUUUCUGCAUACUUGAUUAACUUUACUUGGGAGAGAUUUGUUCUUUCUCUGUUUUGUCUGUGCGUGAGGAAAUGAUUCUAAGUAUUUUCUGCAAGCUCUUCCUUCCAAAUCAGUUAACAUUUUUUUCAGAUAUAUAAGAGAAAUUUGCUUUGUGAAUUAUUUGAUUCAUAAAUUCUUUUUAUGUGAUUUCAAUUAAUGCAGCCGCUAAACAACUCAUCAUGCUCGAUGUGAUUUUAUUUACUCUUGGCAGGGGGAGAAAUAUCCCGUCUUUGUUUAACUCUAAGAUAAAUGAAUCAGACCAAGUAGAUUGUUUGCCCAAGGUCAGAAAGAUACAGGUACAGCAGGAAAGUAGGUCCAAGGCACAUAGCUCCCAUGUAGGUAGACUAAUCGGUCAACUAUAUUGCCCCUCUGAUAGCCUGAAAAAGUAUAUCCCAAUGAACUGUUAGGAAAAAAAAAUAGUCCUAACUUGCACAUAUUCAGAAUUCCCAUCAAACUUGUAGAAAGAUUUUCUAAUAUUUUUCAAUGAUGUCUAUAAAUCAAGAUGUCAUCUAGACAAAUGAUGACACAUGCAUCCACCAAAUGGUGAGAAACUGUCAUUCAUUAAUGCCAUAUAGACAGACGGUACAUUUGUCAGUCCAGAACAGUGAGACUAAGAGUCAUCUAUUCUUACAGCUCAUAGUAAUGACACCUUGUUCCGCCGCUCUUUUGUACAGUUUCAUUUUUAACUUCUUUCCCCACCUAAUAAUACUCACAGUGUUGCUCUAACUCCAUGAAACACAGUAAUCAUUUCAAACCAAAAAUUUGAAAAAUGUUAAAACAUUUAAAUGUACAUAAUGAGAUACAGUACAAAGCAGUGAUUAUUUCUGCAUUAUUGCAAGGAGGUGGCACUUCUAUUACAAGGAUAGUCUCCCAAAUGUCAUGAUGGCUUCCCCAUCUAUAUUAUCCUGAAUCAUGGGUUUAAAUUGAAGCAGAAUCUAUAUAUAGUGAAUUAUUUCUUCAACUACAUGAAACUUAUUCUGGCGGAGUCUUCAAAAAUACCUUAAAAUCAUAUAUUCUCAUUAAGUAGGUCCUUCACAGAUUUCACUACUUUUUUUUUUUUUUUUUUUUUUUUGUAAGGUAAGGUCUGAUAUCUACCUCAAAUUGUUGGCAUGUUUUUGUAAAGCUGUCUUGAAAAAAAAAAUAGGGAAGACAGUUCAGCCACAAAAAAAAAAAAAAAAAAAGUGGACAUAAACAUCUUCAUAAAUUGUUCUAGGCAUCAGUAUAUGGGGAUUUAAAGGGUUAAAAAGGAGGGGAAUAAACUUUUUACUCAGGUAGACAGUGAUAGGACAAGGGGGAACAAUUUUAAGCUCAAGGAGGGAAGGUUUAGGUUAGAUGUCAGGGGGAAGUUCCUCACAGAGGGAAUGGUGAUGUGCUGGAGCAGGCUGCCCAGAGAGGUUGUGGAUGCCCUGUCCCUGUAGGUGUUCAAGGGCCAGGUUGGAUGGGGCCCUGGGCAGCCUGGUCUAGUACCAGAUCUGGAGGUUGGUGGGCCUGCCUGUGGCAGGGGCAGUGAAAGCUGAUGAUCCUUGGGAUCCCUUCCAAGCCAAGCCAUUCUAUGAUUCUACGAUAUGAUUAGUUUCACUGUAAUCAUGAGGCAAAACAGUCACACCUGGUACUCACACUGGCCUAGAAAAGCAUAAGUUCUUCUCACUUAACCAAAUAUCUAUCUGGAGACAGUUAGUUCAUACAGGACAAUGUAAUUUGCUCAUCUUCCCUACACUAACUGUCUGCUCCUUCAUCAGUAAAGUAAAAAAUACUAAUGUUGUAGGAUAAAUAAAAGACCAUAACCUCUUCAGACAGUGUGGGAGGUGAGAUAUUAACGUCUCUGGGGCAGCUCCAUCUUAUCAAUACCAGAAUGAGUAAGUAGAGAACCCCAUCCCAAGGAGAUAUUCUAAUCUUCACAAACAACAUUUCCAUUUUGUUUAUUUUCAGGAAUUACACUAUAUUCCCUCAUGAUACCAUUUUGACAGGAGACCUUUACUUGCUGCUCCCUUGCAUCUUUCUUUCAGUUUAUCUCCUAUUGCUUCUGUCAGAGUUGGUGACAAAAGCUUGAUGGAGGGAGAGAAGAGAUACCGAAUUUUCUUUGUCUCAGAAUAGUCUCUCUGCUGCAGCAGCUUAUCUUCUGCUUUGUGAGGUAUCUGGACCAAUAUACAAUGCUUAUAUUGAAGAGGCAAAUGGUGAACAACAGAAGUUAAUCUUUUCAGCUAUAAAUUUCUUCAUCUUGUUCAUUAUGGAAAAAUCCUCUUACUUCAAUGAAUUUCCAGACUUUUAUGACACUGUCACCCUGCGGCUGGUGUCUGUUGAAGUAGCAGCAGUGUAAAACUGUUGCUAACAAAGAGAAGAUCCAAAUUGUAAAGUAUUGAAUUAAAAGGUAUGAUGUUUUCAUUCAAAGUACUCUGUGGCACUUCAGCUCUCCCUCAAAGUAUUGCUUGAUUUGCAACAUGUGUAGAGUGAUGUAAAUCUACAGUAGCUCCACUGCCCUCAUUAAAGCUAUGCCAUAAUACAGUAACAUGACUACUUCUCCUACGUUGUAGUGUGCAUGAAUUCCGAUCUGCUUUAUAAAUUAUGAAUGGAAUGGGAAUUCUGUUUUUUAUUAAUACAUAUUUUACCACAAGUGCUGAUUAGGAGGAGACUUUUUCUAUAAUUCCUUUCCUUUUAAAAUUGUAAUGCAAACAGCUUCUCAGAACCAUUGCUCCAGUUUCAGAAAGUGAUAAUUAAAGAGGCACUCUAAAUUUCCCCACAGGUUCAUUGGGAACUAAAAUGGGCAAGACAUGCAAAGACAGUAGUGAAACAAGCCAAGGAAGGAAUUGUUCAGAAUGGACAACUAAUGCUCAUUUGCAGUGCUUUGGUAAUAAUUUUCCUUUUCACUUUUUAGAUUUUUGUUUUAUUUUAAUUCAAAGAGAAAUACUGAGUUACUCUUUGGUAAGGAGUUAUUGCAAGAGUGUCCUCAUGGUUCAGUCAAACCCACCAUUUCAGAGAAGGGUAAAAGAUGAAGUAAAUAAGUAAUAAAUAAGAUAAAGUCAAAACGUAGAAAACAUCUGUGACUGUGUGGACAGACAGUGAAGAAAUGUGUGAGCAGAGGUAGGUGAAUGAAAAUACUGAUCAUGGUCUGGAGGCAUAAAAAUUAUCCCCAUGGUUAAAUAGGGCAGUUAUUGCUCUACCUUAAGAGGACUACAUCAGCUAUACUACAAAGCGACACUAUUAUAGCCAUGAAAACCUAAAGCAAUUAGAGUGUCAAAGUUGGUUGAUAUGAUAUGUCUCAAACUGUUUAAAUUGUUUCAAAAUAUUUGUGUAUCACUACAACUUAUUAAGCAGUGUCUUUAUAUAUGACACCCCCUACACCUGACUGAAAGCACAUAAGCAGUUAAGAGCAGCUUUUUUUUCUAAUCAGAAGUGUAGCAGCUGCUGAAAAAUAUAAGUAAAUCUGUGACGACCAGUAAUUCUAUAUUUCCUAGCUAUUUGAAAAUGCAUUAUCCAUUUCUAUCAGUUUUCAUUUAGGGUCUAGGCAUAGAAUACUCACAGAAAAAAAUAUAUACAUAAUAAUAAAAAAAAUCAAACUGUUAGUUCCCUCCAGCAAUGAGACUAAUUUAUUUCCUGAGUAUUUUUACCUGAAUAUCCUUAAACUUUCUCCAGUUUCCAGAAUCGUUUCCUUCCUUCCUUCUCACAAACUGCAUUCUCUCUGCCUUCUGAACAUUUAUUUUUCCCCAAGCUAAACUUAAGUUGAUCAGAGAGGUUUCUGAGACGAUUGGUUCCGAUUAUGUCAUAUUCAUCCUUCUGACUUACCAAUAUGACAUUCUUAAUUGUCAUCAGUACUCUGACAUAUUCUUAUCACUUAGAAGCAUUUAGAUCCAAAAGGGAAAUAAAGAGGUCCCAUUUAAGCUUCUGACUGCAUUGAGUUUGAGUGUAUGGUAGCCCCACACAGCCAAUAAUACACAAUCACACUGGAGUGAGCUACUCUGUGAGGUAACAGAUUCUUAGUCGUGUGCCAGCAAAUCUAGCUAUGCUGCUACAAAUUUGUUAUUUUCAGUAAUCAAAAUGGAUGAAAAAUAUAUGAAAAAAUGGUGUGUCAUUUUUGUAAUCAGUUUUUAUUACAGCAUACGUAUGUACUAAGUGUACAGUUUAAUUUCUAGCAGCCAGAGAGAAUGUUAUUGCACCCAAAGAGAAGUUGGAGAAAGAGAAGAUGUGCACAAGCAAAGCUUUGCUUCUUUUUUUCUUCUACAAUCACCUGACCAAUAAGGAUCAUCUCAUGUACUCUUGGCAGGGAUUUCAUGUUGCUGAUAUAGUCCAUGACAAUCUGUCAUCACUUACAGAGAAUGAAAAAAUUCAGAUGCACAGGGAAUAAAACAGGUGGUGAAGUGCUUGCUCCUUCAGCUUCCAGUUGCCAUAUUUCGUCUUCUGUUGUUGUUGUUGUUGGAGGUGGUGGUAGUGGUGGUGGUGGUUUGUCUGUUGUAUAGAAAUAUCUGUGAAUUUUCCAUUAAACAAUUAUAAAGUUAAAUAAAUUAGAAUAAACUCUGGGAUAAUAGAUAAACAGAUUGCUUGUGUACACAUAGUAAAUCUGAUAUUCCUUCUUACAAAAAUGUUACAAGCAUGUGGUUAAGUCCAUUUCUUGGAAGCAUCAGACAUACUGUAGAGAGAUUCAUUUAAUUAAAUUUAAAUGCAGAUGUCUGCACCUGAACUAGCCACCCUAGACUCCCUUUAAACUCAAUAGAGAGAAAUGAGAGUUUCUAGUGUGCAAUUCAUCUCGUCCUAAAGUACAUGUCUGAAAUAGAUCAAAUGAAUUGCACAUAAAAGUGCUUAUUCUCUCUAUCAACUAUAAAAGAAUACUAAGAAACUAGCCCUGCUGUAGAUGUCUACAUUGCAGAUAUCUAGAGUGUGAUUGAUUUCAUGCUAUUUUAUAUAUUUAAAUAGUGGGUGAACAUAAUAUGCUGUUAUAAGAUGUAGAGUUUAGAGAUUAAUUCAGCCAAUCAAAUGAAACUGUGUAUUUUAUUAAGAGGAGGAAAAAAAAAAAAAAAAAAAAAAAACCUUUGCUAAACUUAUGUAAGAUGAUCAGACAACAUUACCCUGGGGUGAGUUUUCAGUCAGGUUCCAAAGCAGUUCAUGAAGACAGUCUCAAUGUCAUCUACUGUUUCAAAUUGGCCCUUAUUAUGAGGUUUACUUUUUCUUACAGCCCAACUCAACAGUUUGGGCACAAGACAUGGACUUGAAGCAUGAGUUGUCCAUCUCUGGGCAAGGGACCUGAUGUUGCACAAAAGAAAUAAAGAAUUCAUUCAAGGGCAUCCAACAGUGUAACGAGAUAAUUACACUGUCAAAACCAACAGGUAAAGGUGGGGGAAACAUAAAUGAAACGUAUCCUCACAUUAAAUACAUUUUUGUUCCCAAAAUCGUGUUGAAAGUGCUUUACCUAGAAUCAUACUAAUGAACAAACCAAGAAAUUGAUUCAUUGGAAAACUUAGAUGCUUAAUUUCAAACUUUGAGAUGCCAGAAAAUAAUCACUUCCUAAAGAAGUUUAGUGGAUGUCAGCAAAAAAUAUUUGCUUCCUUUUGACAGCAUUUUAACUAUACUUCAAUAGCUGAUUUAACUUCAAUCUGCUGCUAUAAUAUGUUUCAGCACUUUCUUGGUUUAAAGUAUUGGAGUGUCAGUGCUGUGCAAUUUAUCCAGAUUUUUCUCUAGCACACAAUUAAAUUGCCCAGCAAUUAUGUAAGUAUAACAUUUUCUGAAGUUCCUUUAAAAAAAUGCAAGAGAAAUGCAUGAUUACCCAUAUUGGUGACAUGUAUAGUAAAAUUAAUAGGAGUAAAGGCAAAACUAUUAGUGGUAUAAUUGGCAACAGAAAAUCUUCCAUUUUUAUUGGUAAAUGUUUGAUAAGUUUUAUAAAUCAAAACACUUCUAAUCAAAAUUGUUGUUCCACAUAUUUUUGGGCGAACUGAAGAAUGUAAAAUUUGAUUAAUUCACCUCUUUUUACUGUAUGUGUUAUCAGCUGACAAUGAAUGUGUUGCAAAAAAAAAAAAAAAAAAAAAGACAAAUUGUAUUUCUUUGUCUUUUUUAUAAAUUUGCUAUAUUUAUCCAUGUCAGUCCUUAAUGACAAUCCAUAUUGCUUUAGCUUGUCACCCAGAGUAAAUUUCACAAAUAUUCUUUAGGACUACUGCCAAUCAAAUAAUGUUAUACAAUUGCAGAUACUUAUUUAUUUAUAUUCUAUAGCAUCAUCUCAUACAUGUUGCCAUUAAAAUAAUUAAAUGGCUUUUUGACUCACUGAAUUAAAGGUAAUAACAACAAAUUAAAAAAGAAUAAAGAAUACAAGCUUAUAAAAUUUAUUGUAAUUUAUUCAACAGAUGCUGCCCAAGAUGAUGAUGUGCUUAACUAGUUACAAAUGGGAAGUUUUAAGAGAGUUGUAAAUAUUCUGAAUUCAGAUUUUAAUAUUUUAAUAAUUAUUAUUAAAAAAAAAAAGAAAAGAAAAGUAGAAAGUACAAGAGAAGAACAUUAGACUUCACACAGAAUGUUCUUUCUUUCCUGAGUUACUCAGCCAAAACCAUCCCUAAGAGAGAAAGAGCAGACUUAGAAAAAUCUCAGGAAGAAAAAAAUAUUUUUUCUUCCCUUUUCUUCUUAUCACAUUAAUGAUUUG
ensembl:lncRNA